rnacentral:rRNA from 1 species
AUUGAACGCUGGCGGCAUGCCUUACACAUGCAAGUCGAACGGCAGCAUGAUCUAGCUUUCUUUAUUGAUGGCGAGUGGCGAACGUGUGUGUCAUACAUCUGAACGUCCCCUGUGUUGGGGGAUAACUAGUCGAAAGAAUAACUAAUACCCCACACCACCUGAGGGUGAAAGUGGGGGACCGCAAGGCCUCAUUCUAUAUUAGCGGCCGAUGUCUGGUUAGCUAGUUGUUGAGGUAAAGGCUCACCAAGGCGACGAUCCGUAGCUGGUCUGAGAGAGCGAUCAGCCACACUGGGACUGAGACACGGCCCAGACUCCUACGGGAGGCAGCAGUGGGGAAUUUUGGACAAUGGGCGAAAGCCUGAUCCAGCAAUGCCGCGUGUGUGAAGAAGGCCUUCGGGUUGUAAAGCACUUUUGUCCGGAAAGAAAUGGAUCUGGUUAAUACCUGGGGUCGAUGACGGUACCGGAAGAAUAAGCACCGGCUAACUACGUG